rnacentral:rRNA from 1 species
GACGAACGCUGGCGGCGUGCUUAACACAUGCAAGUCGAACGGAAAGGCCCUGCUUUUGUGGGGUGCUCGAGUGGCGAACGGGUGAGUAACACGGGAGUAACCUGCCCUUGACUUUGGGAUAACUUCAGGAAACUGGGGCUAAUACCGGAUAGGAGCUCCUGCUGCAUGGUGGGGUUUGGAAAGUUUCGGCGGUUGGGGAUGGACUCGCGGCUUAUCAGCUUGUUGGUGGGGUAGUGGCUUACCAAGGCUUUGACGGGUAGCCGGCCUGAGAGGGUGACCGGCCACAUUGGGACUGAGAUACGGCCCAGACUCCUACGGGAGGCAGCAGUGGGGAAUAUUGCACAAUGGGCGGAAGCCUGAUGCAGCAACGCCGCGUGCGGGAUGACGGCCUUCGGGUUGUAAACCGCUUUCGCCUGUGACGAAGCGUGAGUGACGGUAAUGGGUAAAGAAGCACCGGCUAACUACGUG